rnacentral:tRNA from 1 species
UCCCUGGUGGUCCAGAGGCCAAGACUCUGCACUCCCAAUUCAAAGGCCCAAGUUCGAUCCCUGGUAGGGAA